GGAAGUGUUAGCUCAGUGGUUAUGAUGUUGGACUUCUACUCGUAAGGUUGUGAGUUCAAAUCCCAGCACCGCCA